rnacentral:rRNA from 1 species
GCGGUGCAUUAGCUAGUUGGUGAGGUAACGGCCCACCAAGGCGAUGAUGCAUAGCCGGCCUGAGAGGGCGAACGGCCACAUUGGGACUGAGACACGGCCCAAACUCCUACGGGAGGCAGCAGUAGGGAAUUUUCGGCAAUGGGGGAAACCCUGACCGAGCAAUGCCGCGUGAGUGAAGACGGCCUUCGGGUUGUAAAGCUCUGUUGUAAGGGAAGAACGGCAUAGAGAGGGAAUGCUCUAUGAGUGACGGUACCUUACCAGAAAGCCACGGCUAACUACGUGCCAGCAGCCGCGGUAAUACGUAGGUGGCAAGCGUUAUCCGGAAUUAUUGGGCGUAAAGGGUGCGUAGGCGGCGAGAUAAGUCUGAGGUAAAAGCCCGUGGCUCAACCACGGUAAGCCUUGGAAACUGUCUGGCUGGAGUGCAGGAGAGGACAAUGGAAUUCCAUGUGUAGCGGUAAAAUGCGUAGAUAUAUGGAGGAACACCAGUGGCGAAGGCGGUUGUCUGGCCUGUAACUGACGCUGAAGCACGAAAGCGUGGGGAGCAAAUAGGAUUAGAUACCCUAGUAGUCCACGCCGUAAACGA